rnacentral:tRNA from 1 species
CGGAUAGUAGUUUCAGUUGGAAGAACACUCACUGUAGUAAUUGAGGAAGUCACAGGUUCGAUUCCUGUCUAUCCGA